GAACGCAAUUAGUCUGGAUCUCCCUCCCACGAUCCCCGGAAACAACGCACCUCUCCUCACGGCCCCGUGGCCUGUAGGUUCUCCGCCGCCGCCCCACGCGACACAGGCCAUCUCUCCCCUGUUUCCCUCUUCUCCAUCCCACACGACAAGCGCGCGGCAGAAGGCGACCACCAUAUCUCUCUUCUCCCUUGCCCCGUUACGCCUCACCCACCGCCGCUUCCUCUCCCCGCCCCCCGGCACGGCCUCACGCUUCCAGUCUCUCGCCUCGAAGGAGGCGGAUGCCUCAAUCGUCUCCGGGGCCGGUGGGGCGCGGGGAGCGAGCUGCUCUCGGUGCUCGACCCGGCGCUCACCGUCGAGGAUCACUACUGCCGCGAGCGCGCCCAGGAGCAGCGGAAGGGCAUGGAGGCGGAGGGGUCCGGCAUAGAGGGGAUCUCGGUGGGCGGGCACGAGGCAUGCGUCACUGCGCCGUCCCCAUACUGCGGCAGUGGUCUAUUCAGCAACGAUCUGUACACUGCCUAACAUUUUUCUUUGAGCAGCUUCAGUAUUAUCUUCAUCUAAUUGCUUGUCAAGUUGCUAAUUGGAGCCUUCAGAUUCUUAGUCACAUUGUAGGUCAGUAAAUCUGAUUGUGUGACACCUUUGAGUGUUCAUCUGAAAGUUAAUUCUAGAUCUCGCUAGAGAAUGAUCCUGAUACAUGGAAACAAUCUGAUAUAUUCAUUGUGCGAUUACUUAGACCGGGCACCGGGCCUGCACCUUGCUUCAGAUCCACAAAUUGUCAAGCGCACAUGGUACAACCAUCAAGUUCUGGGAUAUUAGCUGGCUUAGUGCAGGCAGUCUUUUAACAAAGGAUGGAUGCGAGUAGUGAUAUGCUGAAUACCAUGGAUCUAUGUUCACUGAAGAUAAGUUCUCUUCCUGAAACUUACAAGCACAAACUUCCUUAGUCAACUCAAAGCUAAGCACGGUUAUAAACAAGAUGCUUUAAUAUAAUCAAUACUGCUUGAAUUUAUAUCAGUUUCCAACACUAUCCGAGUCUUUGAGCCAUUCUCUAAAAAUAAAAAUAAACACCUUGAGUGCUUUCUUACCAGUGCCUCCGAUCAAGUUUGGUUUUUUUUAUAACCUUAUUAUAAUCCAGUAUUUAAUAUGCCAUCUAAUGAUCCAAGGUCUUUACAGGGAAAACAAUGGCAGUUUUAAUGCAAGUUCACUGAACAACUACCAUAUCUUUAUGUAGCAUUUGAUUGCUUGGAUGAAGUUGGAUGGCAGAUCCCCAUCCAGCUUUUAAAAGUUGGUGUAGGUGUUGCAGCUUUUUCAGUGCAGUAUACACUGGCAACUGGGAGCACACUUGAAUUACAUGAAUACAUUUCUUCAGAGAACCCGUUGUUGUGUGCAGAAUAUAUUUCUUCAGAGAAUGUGUUAUUGUGCAGAAACUACAAUGAAGUUGUCGGUGGAGAAGAUCCGAUGAACCCAACUACAUCGGGUUGGUUCAAAGGGAGUGGUCCGAUCAGGUCCUUCCAACGGUCUAUUGUCCGUCGAAGGUCACGUUCAUCUCUGGCAAAUUCCACCGCAGCCUCGGUCGUACGUGUGCUUCGAUCUAUUUUCGUAUUGUUUUCUUGGGCGUUUGGCAAAUGCUUCACAUACUAAGCUAAACAUGCACAACUAUCUAGCUGCUGAAAAGGAGAUGACUGUGGUCCUCUUGACAACGAAGAUGAAGACGCGGUAGACCAAGCCUUAUGUGUUCUCCACUUGCAUGCACAACGAGUUCCGCAAGAUGGCCAAUGUUGUCAAGAACCAGGUCACUGGAAGCUACUACAUGCCUGACUUGACCAAACCCGCUCUUGCAAGACUUUCAAUUUACUGCAACCUCCGAGUUUCCAAAUACGGUGUCAAGAAAAAGAAGAAAAAAAGUCCAUUUUACUACCGUGAACAAAGUUGGUGGUUCACAUUACCCCUGAUCUAUUUUUCUGCUCUUUUCACCCCCUAAACAAUCCCAAACCGGACAAAAGACCCCCAUGGGUGGUUUGUCUCAACUUCCAGCUGAUGUGGCGCUGGUCAAUGGUGGUUUGACCUACGGGUGGGGCCAUGAGGAUUAACUUAAUUGAAACAGGAAAUUAGCCCAUGGUUAAUUAGGCAAUGGGACCCGCUUGGCAGUGACUUGGGGGUGGAUUAACUAAGUGCUAAUGGUAGGUUUAGCUGGUGGCUAGCCGGAGCACGACGAAGCUAAGGGCACGAACGGCGGGGAGGUGCUGCAGCAGCUGGCGAUGGAGCAGCACUGGGCGUAAAAUGGGUGGUGGUGGCCCAGUUCUUGGGCAUCAUCGUCCCUCUCCUUGUGCAGGAGGUAGCGAGACAGCGAGGCAGGCGGUGCGGGGAGGCAUGGGGCGGCCAGAUCCAGGGAUGGCAGCCCCAUUAGGUCUGGUUCUGGUCUGUCUGGAGCCUAGCAUUGGUGUGAAGACGACACGACGGUGAGCUUGUGGCGGCGGCGGCUCAACCCCCAGGCAUGGUCGUCCCUGUCUUCGCGCGGGAGGUAGCAGGGCAGCGGCGCUGCAGCGAUGCAGGUGCAGGGGGAGCCCGAGGGGGCGACCAGAUCCGGGGGUAGCGGCCCCAUAUGGUCUGGUUCCGGUCGGAUGCGGAGUUCGGCGACGGUGUGAAGACGGCCCGCCGGCGAGCUUGUGGCGACGGUUGACCUAUACGUGAGCCGGGAGAAGAGAGAAGGGAGAGGAAAGAGAUGGGAGAAAGGAGAAGCAGGGCGGCAGCUUGGAACUCUGGCGGUCGCCGGCAUCAUCUAGAGGCGGCAGGGUCGGGCGUGGUGCUCGGGAUGGAGGCAGCUAUGAGGGGAGGCUCGGGAGGAGCUCCUCUGUCUCAACCCAGCCUGAUGAGGGAGACUCACCCGCAGGUCAAAACCGGCCAUUGACCAUUGCCACGUCAGCAACCAGUGAAGUAAAACCACCCAGGGACUGAUUUUUUUCCGGUAUGAGAUUGUUCAGGGGGUAAAGGGAACAGAAAUAAAGAUCAGGGGGUUAUGUGAACCACCAAUUUUCUUCAGUGUAGUAAAAUGGACUUUUUUGAAAAAGAACAUCCAUACGAAUAGCGUUGAGAGGCAAUGAGCUUUUUUUUGUGCAUGAGUUGGUUUGUGUUUCCAUUCUUCUAGAUUUGUUCUAAGAGAAUGGAGUCGAAUAUAAUGAAUGAUGUGCUCAGCAGACAGGCACAAGUUUUGCCAGUAGGUUCAACAUUUGUACCCCAUGACUAUGUGUUCCAGAACUGAUUUGGACAUUCCCCCUUUUCUUUGGAGAUGAAGGGAUCAUUUGUA